rnacentral:rRNA from 1 species
CAGUGGCGAACGGGUGAGUAACACGUGGGCAAUCUGCCCUGCACUCUGGGACAAGCCCUGGAAACGGGGUCUAAUACCGGAUACGACCUUCCCCUGCAUGGGGGUUGGUGGAAAGCUCCGGCGGUGCAGGAUGAGCCCGCGGCCUAUCAGCUUGUUGGUGGGGUAAUGGCCUACCAAGGCGACGACGGGUAGCCGGCCUGAGAGGGCGACCGGCCACACUGGGACUGAGACACGGCCCAGACUCCUACGGGAGGCAGCAGUGGGGAAUAUUGCACAAUGGGCGAAAGCCUGAUGCAGCGACGCCGCGUGAGGGAUGACGGCCUUCGGGUUGUAAACCUCUUUCAGCAGGGAAGAAGCGAAAGUGACGGUACCUGCAGAAGAAGCACCGGCUAACUACGUGCCAGCAGCCGGGGUAAUACGUAGGGUGCGAGCGUUGUCCGGAAUUAUUGGGCGUAAAGAGCUCGUAGGCGGCUUGUCACGUCGGGUGUGAAAGCCCGGGNCUNANCCCGGGUCUGCAUUCGAUACGGGCUAGCUAGAGUGUGGUAGGGGAGAUCGGANUUCCU